rnacentral:rRNA from 1 species
AUUGAACGCUGGCGGCAUGCUUUACACAUGCAAGUCGAACGGCAGCGCGGGCUUCGGCCUGGCGGCGAGUGGCGAACGGGUGAGUAAUGCAUCGGAACGUGCCCAGUAGUGGGGGAUAGCCCGGCGAAAGCCGGAUUAAUACCGCAUACGACCUGAGGGUGAAAGCGGGGGACCGAAAGGCCUCGCGCUAUUGGAGCGGCCGAUGUCGGAUUAGCUAGUUGGUGGGGUAAAGGCUCACCAAGGCGACGAUCCGUAGCUGGUCUGAGGGGACGACCAGCCAGACUGGGACUGAGACACGGCCCAGACUCCGACGGGAGGCAGCAGUGGGGAAUUUUGGACAAUGGGGGCAACCCUGAUCCAGCCAUGCCGCGUGCGGGAAGAAGGCCUUCGGGUUGUAAACCGCUUUUGUUCGGGAAGAAAUCCUCUGGGCUAAUACCCCGGGGGGAUGACGGUACCGGAAGAAUAAGCACCGGCUAACUACGUG